rnacentral:rRNA from 1 species
GACGAACGCUGGCGGCGUGCUUAACACAUGCAAGUCGAACGGAAAGGCCCUGCUUUUGUGGGGUGCUCGAGUGGCGAACGGGUGAGUAACACGUGAGUAACCUGCCCUUGACUUUGGGAUAACUUCAGGAAACUGGGGCUAAUACCGGAUAGGAGCUCCUGCUGCAUGGUGGGGGUUGGAAAGUUUCGGCGGUUGGGGAUGGACUCGCGGCUUAUCAGCUUGUUGGUGGGGUAGUGGCUAACCAAGGCUUUGACGGGUAGCCGGCCUGAGAGGGUGACCGGCCACAUGGGGACUGAGAUACGGCCCAGACUCCUACGGGAGGCAGCAGUGGGGAAUAUUGCAAAUGGGCGGAAGCCUGAUGCAGCAACGCCGCGUGCGGGAUGACGGCCUUCGGGUUGUAAACCGCUUUCGCCUGUGACGAAGCGUGAGUGACGGUAAUGGGUAAAGAAGCACCGGCUAACUACGUG